UACGGAGGGGGCUAGCGUUGUUCGGAAUUACUGGGCGUAAAGCGCACGUAGGCGGCUUUGUAAGUUAGAGGUGAAAGCCCGGGGCUCAACUCCGGAAUUGCCUUUAAGACUGCAUCGCUAGAAUUGUGGAGAGGUGAGUGGAAUUCCGAGUGUAGAGGUGAAAUUCGUAGAUAUUCGGAAGAACACCAGUGGCGAAGGCGACUCACUGGACACAUAUUGACGCUGAGGUGCGAAAAGCG
rnacentral:rRNA from 1 species